rnacentral:lncRNA from 1 species
CGGACAUCGUAAGGUGGACAUUCCCAAGAAUCAAGUCAGCUUCCUGAUCGCCCACCUCCGACGUCUCCUCCCAGACUCUUCCCUCUCUGUGUUAAUGGCCACUAGCAUCCUCUCGUGAUCCAGGCCAGACACCUGGCAGGGAUCCUGUCCUCCCUGCCUCAGCCCCACACCCUGAGAGUCAUGGUCCCACAGCUCCACCUUGUCCCUCUCUGCCACUGCCCCCUCACGUUGCCCCGGCCCUCGCCAAGGCCCAGCACCCCCAGCUCUGCCAUGACCUCCUACCUGGGCGCUCAACCUCCCGCCACCCCUCCCUGCCUGGGCCGACUCUGCUAGGGAGAGCUCCCUAACGCACAGACCUGAUGAGCCGGGCCCUUCUGGACCUCCCUCAGUGUGUCCCCACCACUCACCAAGGCAGGUGAGAGGAACAGUCCGCUCUUCCCCAUCUUCCACCUCACACACCUGCCGCACCAUCGAGACCUGCGU